CCUACGGGGGGCUGCAGUCGAGAAUCUUCCUCAAUGGGCGAAAGCCUGAAGGAGCGACGCCGCGUGCGGGAUGAAGGGCUUCGGCCUGUAAACCGCUUUUGUUUGGGAAGAAGCGCAAGCUGACGGUACCAAGCGAAUAAGAGGUUGCUAACUCUGUGCCAGCAGCAGCGGUAAUACAGAGACCUCAAGCGUUAUCCGGAUUUACUGGGCGUAAAGCGUCCGCAGGUGGUUCGUUAAGUCAUCGGUCAAAUCCCGGAGCUCAACUCCGGAACUGC
rnacentral:rRNA from 1 species